GGCUACAUCGGUGAUGAAAAUGUUGUGUGUAAUGUGUAAAAUAAACAGCCUAAAAAUUAUAAAUGGUGGUAGAAUCGACUUCGCACGCCUGAAAGCCGUUUAGGCUGUUGUGCAACCGUGUUGAGCCGGCGAUAGUUAGAAAGAGGGAAGAAAGAAUGCCCGCAAUCAAACUAAACGAUGUUUGAUCAUGGAAAACAAGUUAAAAAGCAUACAAAGCUCGCUCGCCGUUGAACGCUUGGACAAUUACAUUUACAAUCAUUCGGUGAUCAGUUUGCGAAACGUCUUGCCGCACGCCUGGUACAGGCCCUUCUUGUCCGCGUCGGUAUCGAUCGUGGACUGAUCGUUCGGCAGCGUCAGCAUCAUCACCUUCAUCUGCGGGUAGUUGUGGUACGGCACAGUUCCGGUCGUCAUCUCGAUCGCGGUAAUGCCGAACGACUAGAAGCCGUAUCCGUGGUCCCGCUCCGUCUCCUCCAGCGCCAUCCAGCACGACGUGCCGAUAAACGUGUGGUACACCUUCUGCCGCGACGUGUCUCCAUCGGUGGCGAGCCACGCGCUCAUCCGCUAUAUUUAAGGAGCCGUCGUCGCCGGGCAGUAUGAUGGCCACCUUGAUGUCCACGUAAUGAGCAAUGCGAAAUGUGCUCUCAAUUGGCAAGCGCACAGCAAGAAACGUUACUGACAGUCUUUGUCGCCGUGAAAAUGCUUCUAAUGCAC